GGCAAAGGAGGGGCCAAAGUGCUAUUGCACAAACCUCUUGGAUGCAUAUGAUGCCUGUAUAAAGACUAGGGCUGUCUCAAGGCAGUUUGCUGCCUGAGGUGAAGGACAAGAUGGCAGCCACCACUGUUCCACAUACAGAAGCCGUUUGGAACAGCAGUAAAACCUACUUCAGUACUGGCAAUGUGCUCCAUUGUGCCUGAGGGCAACAGGCCACAUACAGCUCUGUCCUCCAACAGAUGAAUAUGAGUCAGGGGGCUCAGGACAUGCAGUUUCCCCUGCCCACCCCCCUUACCUCACGCUGUCUAUUAGUAGGGCUGGUCCUGAUAAAGAAGGAGCGUAGAGGAUUUUGAGGCAACUGGGGGAAAGUUGGAGAAAAGAAGUCUCAGCUGCCUGCUGCCAAGCAUUGAAUGAUGCUUGUACUCUGGAGGAUAGGAAUCAAACCAAUGGCUUCAAGUUACAAGAAAGGAGAUUCUGACUAAACAUCAGGAAGAACUGUCUGAGAAUAAGAUCCUUGUGGUCCCUUCCAACUCUACAGUUCUAAAAUUCUAUGAUGCAUGAGUGAGACCUUUGAUUACUAGAAUUACAGAAAGUAACUUCUCCAAGAGCAAGGAAAAGCCCUGGGUUAAUAUUCCA